CUUCAUCUUUAAUUUUCAUCUUAAGAAAUUCAAUAAUUUCUCUCAAUUCUCAAAAAAAUUCAUCCACACUAAACUUUCAACAUCUUUUUUCUUAAAUUAGUAUGUAUUCACUAUUGUUGAAAGUUGAAUAAUUUAAAGUAUCAAGCAGAAAUCAAUCAAAAAACAACAACAAUCCCAUUAUGAUGAAGAAUUGAGUAAAGAAUUUGAGUAAUUUGAUGUAUUGACUAAAGAUUUUCGUGAAAAUCGAUCGAUAAAACAACAACAAUCCCGUUAUGAUGGAGAAAUUAAAUAAGGCACUUAAAGCACAACAUAAGAUACAUAUUUGAUUAUGUGUGAUACUUGUUUCAUAUUUUAUCUCUGAGUAUCUAACACUGUAUAAGAAUGUAUCUCUCGUAUUAUUUUGUUUGUGUAAAAAAUGCAUAAGAAAGAUACAUACUAAUAAAGCAAGAGAUUCAUAUAUAAUACUUAUAUGUAUGGUAUGUAUCUCUCGAUAUAUAAUUUUUUUGGGUUAAUUACAUAUGUGAAAGAUACAUGUUAUUACAGGAAAAGAUACAUUUAAGGUUCUUAUAUGUUUAGUAUGUAUCUCUUACAAGAUAUGUUUAUGUAGAUAUUACUGUAAAUAUAUGUAUGUUCCAAAAUAUUAUGUAUCUCUUAUAAGAGACAAGAAUAAUAUUAUAUGAAUAUUAUGUCAUUUUUUUGUGUCAACAACACCAUAUGCGAUCGAAAAUAUGCUUCCUUAUGUUGAAAAAUAAAAAUAUU
rnacentral:lncRNA from 1 species